AACGCGAAGAACCUUACCUGGGUUUGACAUGCACUAGACAGCCUCAGAGAUGGGGUUUCCCUUGUGGUUGGUGUACAGGUGGUGCAUGGCUGUCGUCAGCUCGUGUCGUGAGAUGUUGGGUUAAGUCCCGCAACGAGCGCAACCCUUGCCCCAUGUUGCCAGCGGGUUAUGCCGGGGACUCGUGGGGGACUGCCGGGGCCAACUCGGAGGAAGGUGGGGAUGACGUCAAGUCAUCAUGCCCCUUAUGCCCAGGGCUUCACACAUGCUACAAUGGCUGGUACAGAGGGCUGCGAGAUCGUGAGGUUGAGCGAAUCCCUUAAAGCCGGUCUCAGUUCGGAUCGGGGUCUGCAACUCGACCCCGUGAAGUCGGAGUCGCUAGUAAUCGCAGAUCAGCAUUGCUGCGGUGAAUACGUUCCCGGGCCUUGUACACACCGA
rnacentral:rRNA from 1 species